rnacentral:rRNA from 1 species
UACGUAGGGUGCGAGUGUUGUCCGGAAUUACUGGGCGUAAAGAGCUCGUAGGUGGUUUGUCGCGUUGUUCGUGAAAACUCACAACUCAAUUGUGGGCGUGCGGGCGAUACGGGCAGACUAGAGUACUGCAGGGGAGACUGGAAUUCCUGGUGUAGCGGUGGAAUGCGCAGAUAUCAGGAGGAACACCGGUGGCGAAGGCGGGUCUCUGGGCAGUAACUGACGCUGAGGAGCGAAAGCGUGGGGAGCGAACAGG